rnacentral:piRNA from 1 species
UAUUUUUGAAAAGAAAUAGAC